UGAGAAGAAAGAGAAACACAGGAGACGAAAGAGCAAGGCAAAUAUCUACAAGACCAAAUAAAUGAAGAUGAAAUAGGCAACCUACCUGAAAAAGAAUUCUCAGUAAUGAUAGCAAAGAUGAUCCAAAAUCUCAGAAACAGAA